rfam:Cricetulus griseus cell line CHO-K1, whole genome shotgun sequence.
UUGAGGUGAAGUUCUGUUAUACACUCAGGCUGUGGCUCUGAAAGUCAGUGCAUCACAGAACUUUGUCUCGAA